rnacentral:rRNA from 1 species
AUUGAACGCUGGCGGCAUGCCUUACACAUGCAAGUCGGACGGCAGCGCGGAGGGGUAACUCUCUGGCGGCGAGUGGCGAACGGGUGAGUAAUAUAUCAGAACGUACCUGGUAGUGGGGGAUAACUCGUUGAAAGAUGAGCUAAUACCGCAUACGCCCUGAGGGGGAAAGUGGGGGAUCUGAAAGGACCUCAUGCUAACAGAGCGGCCGAUAACUGAUUAGCUGGUUGGUGGGGUAAAGGCCUACCAAGGCGACGAUCAGUAGCUGGUCUGAGAGGACGACCAGCCACACUGGAACUGAGAGACGGUCCAGACUCCUACGGAGGCAGCAGUGGGGAAUUUUGGACAAUGGGGGCAACCCUGAUCCAGCAAUGCCGCGUGAGUGAAGAAGGCCUCGGGUU